CAGUGUCACACCCUGUCAGCAGUGGCUGUCCCUCACUAUUGAAGAAACACACAUGCUCACUACUGAUAGUAUCACACUCCCUCACUACUGACAGUAUCACACUCUCUCACUACUGAUAGUGUCACACUCUCUCACUACUGAUAGUGUCACAUCUCCAUCACUACUGACAGUAUCACACUCUCUCACUACUGAGUAUCACACUCUCUCACUACUGACAGUAUCACACUCACUCACUACUGAUAGUGUCACAUCUCCAUCACUACUGCCACUACCACACUCCCUCAGUACUAUCAGUGACCCCUGACUGAAGGCUGUGAUUCUGUGACCUGGGUUUGCCCUCUGAACCCUGAGCGUUCCAACCCCUCCCUGCCCGCUCCUGGUGAUCUGUCCAUUCACUCUGCAACUGUUGGGCAGUUGUAUUGUCGACAGCCUUGACUUCUGAAUGACUUCAUCGCGUAAGGAACAGACUUGUCUGGAGGAUAUGAGUAACCGCCUAAACUCUCUCACACUGGAAACUGGAACCGGCCGCAUAAAA